rnacentral:rRNA from 1 species
AUUGAACGCUGGCGGCAUGCCUUACACAUGCAAGUCGAACGGCAGCACGGGUGCUUGCACCUGGUGGCGAGUGGCGAACGGGUGAGUAAUACAUCGGAACAUGUCCUGUAGUGGGGGAUAGCCCGGCGAAAGCCGGAUUAAUACCGCAUGCGAUCUACGGAUGAAAGCGGGGGACCUUCGGGCCUCGCGCUAUAGGGUUGGCCGAUGGCUGAUUAGCUAGUUGGUGGGGUAAAGGCCUACCAAGGCGACGAUCAGUAGCUGGUCUGAGAGGACGACCAGCCACACUGGGACUGAGACACGGCCCAGACUCCUACGGGAGGCAGCAGUGGGGAAUUUUGGACAAUGGGCGAAAGCCUGAUCCAGCAAUGCCGCGUGUGUGGAGAAGGCCUUCGGGUUGUAAAGCACUUUUGUCCGGAAAGAAAUCCUUGGCCCUAAUACGGUCGGGGGAUGACGGUACCGGAAGAAUAAGCACCGGCUAACUACGUG